rnacentral:rRNA from 1 species
CGUGUAGGCGGGUCUUUAAGUCAGGGGUGAAAUGCCAAGGCUCAACCUUGGAACUGCCCUUGAUACUGGAGAUCUUGAGUCCGGGAGAGGUGAGUGGAACUGCGAGUGUAGAGGUGAAAUUCGUAGAUAUUCGCAAGAACACCAGUGGCGAAGGCGGCUCACUGGCCCGGAACUGACGCUGAGACGCGAAAGCGUGGGGAGCAAACAGGAUUAGAUACCCUGGUAGUCCACGCUGUAAACGAUGGAUGCUAGCCGUUGGGGAGCUUGCUCUUCAGUGGCGCAGCUAACGCUUUAAGCAUCCCGCCUGGGGAGUACGGUCGCAAGAUUAAA